CAGAACGAACGCUGGCGGCAGGCCUAACACAUGCAAGUCGAACGGUAACAGAUCUUCGGAUGCUGACGAGUGGCGCACGGGUGCGUAACGCGUAUGCAACCUACCCUAUACAGGGGGAUAGCCCAGAGAAAUUUGGAUUAAUACCCCAUGGUACUAUUUGAUGGCAUCUGAAGAUAGUUAAAGAUUUAUUGGUAUAGGAUGGGCAUGCGUUAGAUUAGUUAGUUGGUGAGGUAACGGCUCACCAAGACAGCGAUCUAUAGGGGUUCUGAGAGGAUGAUCCCCCACACUGGCACUGAGAUACGGGCCAGACUCCUACGGGAGGCAGCAGUGGGGAAU
rnacentral:rRNA from 11 species